rnacentral:rRNA from 1 species
GAUGAACGCUGGCGGCGUGCCUAAUACAUGCAAGUCGAGCGAACAGACGAGGAGCUUGCUCCUCUGACGUUAGCGGCGGACGGGUGAGUAACACGUGGAUAACCUACCUAUAAGACUGGGAUAACUUCGGGAAACCGGUGCUAAUACCGGAUAAUAUAUUGAACCGCAUGGUUCAAUAGUGAAAGACGGUUUUGCUGUCACUUAUAGAUGGAUCCGCGCCGCAGUAGCUAGUUGGUAAGGUAACGGCUUACCAAGGCGACGAUGCGUAGCCGACCUGAGAGGGUGAUCAGCCACACUGGAACUGAGACACGGUCCAGACUCCUACGGGAGGCAGCAGUAGGGAAUCUUCCGCAAUGGGCGAAAGCCUGACGGAGCAACGCCGCGUGAGUGAUGAAGGUCUUCGGAUCGUAAAACUCUGUUAUUAGGGAAGAACAAAUGUGUAAGUAACUAUGCACGUCUUGACGGUACCUAAUCAGAAAGCCACGGCUAACUACGUG